CCUUUCGAGUGUUGUAUCAAACCAAAGUAGCUAAUGCGAAAUGGAACACGAUGAAGAAGGAA
rnacentral:sRNA from 12 species